GCCCGCCGGCCGCAGCCCGGCUCCUGGGCUAGGCCUGCUCUUCGCGGGGUCUGCUCCCGGGAAGCGAAGCUCCACACGGAGGACGCGGAGGUGGUUUCAGACCGCAGCGCCCGGCUCCUCCUCCCGCGCUACCCAGGGAGGCGGGCUGUACUCUUCUCAAGGUCCUGCCGCACCGCCCUGCCAACCCGAGGGAGCCCUUCGCAGCCUCCCCGCCUUCACUCCACCUGGGGACCGCCGCGCCGGAAGCUGCGGGCUCCCGGGGCCCCGGCUCGUUCCCGCCGAGCCGCGAGCCGCGGGUGCGCAUGCUCCGCGGAGGCCCGCACGGGGCCCGGGUGAACCCUGAUAGAGCCAUCGCGAGGCGGGACACCCCAGGCCCAUCACAGACUUUCCUACAGGUGUGAAGAAACCUCCUACAUACAAGUGGAUGCACCUCCAUAGGACACGUCAUGAGGCGUGGAAUCCCCAGCACACGCAUGCUGAACCUUGCAGAACUGUCUAGCCCUCUGACUAACUGGCCUAAUGUGGUGGUGUUUGUUCUUGAUCCUAGAGGCCUCCUGCAUUCCUCGCCUUGCUGCCUCCUCCUCUGCCGUGUGUCCCAUCGCCCUUCGAUGACUUUGACCUUCUCACCUCCCUCUUAUGAGGACCCUUGUGACCACCUUGAACCCUCCCAGAUAGUCCAGGACCAUCUCCUCAUUCAAGAUUCUUAACACGAUCACAUCUGCCAAGUCCUUUGCCUGUGAGAUAAAAAAGGGGGUGACAUUCUUAAUCCUCCUGCGGUUCCACUGAAGCAUCAAGUGAGAUCCUCACUCCUGCCAAGGAGCCAUCUGGUCCUGACGUCUUGUCUGGGGGACUGAGCCCCAGGAACCAGGGUGCGCUGGCUGGGUAUAGGGCCUUGCCUUUCUGCCUGCCCUCCCAGCAGCCCCUGGCCAGCCACCAGCUAUGACCUCAGUUCAGAUUGGCCCCUUAGUUCCCUGAGUCCCCUCUCAGCCCCUCCCAGCCUGCUCCAGAUCCAGUCUCUGGCCCGGGCCUCUGGCCUCAUUCGUGCUCCCAGAGCCCUCCUCACUGUCACGGCCCCCACUCCCUUGCCCCAGAGGCGCUCUGGGCUCCGGCCUGCCAGCUCAGGCCCACCCUCCACCCAGCCCUCUCCACACGCGUGAAACCCACACACGUGGGCUCUCUCCAGCUCCCCAGAGAAAAGCCCAACCGCAAGACCCGGAGUCGAGGAAGAGGGACACACACGAUGGUGCAGGCCAGUGCUGGGGGGUCCGACGGGACGACGGGCCUCCCGGAUGCUUUAUAAGGCCAAACUCCCCAGCACCACAUCUGGAAUUAAGCUGGAAAUUCCAAUUUCUCUCUGCUGCUUAAAAAAAAAAAAAGUGUCAGAUUUUCCCAGAGAUUUUGUGGAAGUGGGAAGCCCCCUGUGGGGGUGGAGGUGGGGGUGGAGCGCUCGCUCCACGGGACCCCAGAGCUUUGGGGACAUCCAGAUGUCACAACGAGUCCACAGGCCUUGGCUGACGGCUCCUCCCGUCUCCCUCAGCUGUGCUCCCUGCCCCAUGAAAAUUAAAGACGCCUGGAGCAGGAGGGGGAUCUUGCUUCUCCCUAGGACACACAAGUCCGUCCAUGUGUGUGCGUGUGAAACUGUGCCUUUUUGAUAGGGAUUAAGUUAUUUUUUUCCUGGAGAGAAAAAAUGUUGACAUGCCUUUGGUGGAUCGCCUGCCCAGAAAUUCCUGGUGCAUGAAGGUGUGCUCUUCCCUUCGCUCUAACACACAGGCGCUUGCACACCUCCCAGAAGCCAGGAGCUCACCAACCACGUUGUCUGGGCCUCUUCAGGGCCUCACCUGCACUUCUAUCCCAGCCCAAACCAGUGUGGGACGGGGAUUCCACAGAGCUGGGCCUGUGGGUCCAGAAGAGAGCCGACCACUUACUAGUUCUCUGUCUCUAGGCAAGAGGAUGAGUUUCCUGUUGCUGCUGUAACAAAUCAUCACCAGCCGAGUGACUUAAAGCAAAUGUAUUCUCUUACAAUUCUGGAAGUCAGAAGUACAAACAGCCUCACUGGUGUUGAUGCUACAGUUUGGUCACGUGCUACCCUAACUCCCAAGGUGGUGUCCAGGUUGAACAUUAUCCUUUUCAUGGCAGAGAUGCUAAGAGAGAGAUCUGGAUCUGAGUUCUGGCUCUGCCUCUUCUGAGCCGUGUGACCUUUUUGAGCUCCCAUGUCCUCCUCAGCGAAAUGGGGAUAACCAUUGGCCAGACCUUUGUUUUGAUGACUAAAUAAGAUAAUGUCCUAUUUAAUUGAAGUUUGCCAUUCUCUGGCACAUAGAUAUGCCUCAGAACGGUGACUCUAAAUAUUCUCUCUCAUCCAGGCCCCCACCAUGCCCUCUUCACACUCUCAUUCUAGGGGCUCAAACUGCUGGAAUCAGGAAAGCAGUCUGAUUAAAUCGAUUCACGCCGAUUCCAGCCUUGGUCCUCCUCCAAGAGAUUCUGAUUCAUUAGGUCUGGGAUGAGUUCCCAAACUCAUUAUUUUUAUUAAUCUUUAUUUUUUAAUAAACAUCCUGGGUGAUUCUGAGGUUUAUCUAGGUUGGGGAGCUACUGGAAUAAGUGACGAUGGGGUUUUAUUUUAAUAAAGGCCAACUCGUGCCCUCAAGAAAGGGGGUUUAGCUUAGAGGUAUCAUCUGUCUUGCUGGAACCACAGCAAGUGGGACCCUCUCCCUACGCACGGGGAGGGUGGCGUUCUUCCCUAGCAGCUCUGCAGGAAGGGGCGGGGGCCAUACCAGCUGUGUCCCCUCCUGCAGCUGUUUCAGUGCCAUGGCCCCGUGGAAAUCACUGUGAAAUUCAUUCUCCACAUCGCCCAAAGCUGGGCCAGGUGGCUACUGGCUGGAGAGGCUGAUCCCACCUGACAAGAGGCUCUGCACGCCAAGGAAAUAUACCUGCCCACCUCCACUCAGCACAGGGAUCCCCCCAAGCCUUGCUCUCCUGGGCCUUCAAGUGCUUUUUGUCCCAACACAGUUCAUGCCCUCUCACGGGAAGACUUGACUCAGGAAGCACCCAGCCCUUGCAUUUCUGCAGGUUCACUCAGGACGAUGUGGCUCUGGAAAUUGGUUGUGGCUGGAUUCUGCCUCAACCCGGGGACCUCUGAGGCCUGGGACAGAGCUAGCUGCUCUGGGAAAAAGCAAAGAAAGCUGCAGAUUCUCCCCAUCCCUGGGAAUGACCGUGAGUGGGGGCUUUCCCUGCAGCAGGGAGCUCAGCCUUUUUAUUAGCUGCACGGAGGUGCAGAAGCAGGGGUUUGGCUGAGGAAGAAGGGAAAGGCCCAGAAUGAGAGCACUGUCCUCCGCCAAGGACACAGGACUGUUGACGUGGGAGAGAUGGGCGCAGCCUCUGGAUCGAGUCCACGGUGAGGAGGAAAUGGUUUUCACUGAAAAACAAAGUUGAAAAACAGUUUACCGAAGGAAAGAG